GAGAUAUAGAAAGAAGAAAAAAAAAACGUGAGAUACAAAGAAAAAAAAAUUAUUCUUGACAAGAAAAUUAGUUUUCUUGGUCUUUCACGUUUUAGCUACAGUUUUUGAGAAAAUCUUUAGCAUAAUAUUUCCAUUCAAUUUUUCGCGGGUUUCAUUUAUCAAAGAGUUGAUAGCAAGGAUCGGUCUCGGUGUGGAUACGCAUAG
rnacentral:lncRNA from 1 species